rnacentral:lncRNA from 1 species
GUAAGGACUUGGAUAAAUCAAGGACCUCUGUGAAUCAGUUUGCCCAUCUGGAAAACACAAACAAUAAUCACUAUAACUGGCUAACCAGCCUCUGUCAGUACAGAAAAACCUAGUGAUUUAGUAUUAGCAAAGACUGUUUCUAGCCCCAAGGAAAGCUGAAACAAGUAUGCAGCAUUAGUGUCAUUUGCAGAUCCUUGGUGAGAGAGGGGCUGCAAAGGAAAGGUAUUUUCCUCGGAGCACUGAACACCUGGCAGCAGCUUCAUUUGCAUGGUUACUGGUUCCUUCCUGUACAAACACAGCUCUCCUCUUCAUGCUAGCUCCUCUUCAUGAGUUGGAAAAAUGAACAAAGCUUUUGCCCUCAGUCUGCAGAACAUACUUAAACUAUAAAGGCUCUUACCAUUCUUGUCAAGUCUGUAAUCUGCUGGUCGUUCGUUAGUUCGUUACUUGUUGCCUUGAUCCACGUGUGGACCCGAAAUACAAAAGAGUCAUGGUUUUUAAUUUAACAGCUCUCCAGAAAUAGAAAAAAGAAGUGAAUUACUCCUGAAGUGGCUGGAGUCAAUAUAACAGCGUAACAGGGUUGGAAAAGAUUGGUAAACCAGCACAAAAAUAGUCCAGCCUGAGUCUUGUACAAGUUUGCAUCACUGCGGGAUGUGGUGGGCCUCAAGACACUAGGCAUUUUUGGCACAGCUUGCACUUCCAUUGCAGCUGUAGGAAGGCUGGAGAAUUGCCAUUCAGGGAUGGAACUAAUAUAGAAAUUUCUUUACUCGAUAACACAAUUAGAACCAAUUGUCAUCACCUUUGGCCUUGCUCUGUGAAGGUAAAAUGGCUUAUAAUAUUAACAGGUUGCUGAAGCCCAUUUAAACCUUCACUGAAGUAGCAACUGAAGUCCUCUGCAAAGCCACAGUGUCACCUCUGCUGUGUCCCUCCUUGGGCUGGUCUGGGUGGUUGGUAAUGUGGUCAGUGCUAGCUGGCUGACCUGAAGGACUUCUUGUGACAUACCUGCUAUUGCCAGCUGCUGGAGCACGUGUCAUAGAAGGGGAUUUCUUCUACUGUAAAACUUAACAUACUGUACGUAGUACAUAGUAGCAUCUGCCAGAAAUGCAACACUAUUGUUAUUUUUCCCGUCAUGUUAUGGCAAAUGAAAAUAUAAACAAUUAGGUUACUGCAUAAUUCCUGCAGAGUCAUUGAAGUCAGCCCAAGGUUACACCUAAAGCACAUUCCUUUUCUACAUAAAAUAUUUUCUGCAUAAUAAUCUACAUAAAACCUUUUCUACAUAAAUAAAUUUAUUUCCCACUAAUUUUCCA